rnacentral:lncRNA from 1 species
CUUGGCCAAACGCACCCAGCAGGAUUCUUGCUAAAAUUCGUCUAGGCUGGCCAAGGGCGAGGCCCCGUCAGCAAGGGACUCGAAGAGCCUAGGCAGUUAGGUCGGGGAGAGUCGCCAGCUAUGCGUCAGCCGUGGUCUGGGCUGCUUGCACCCCUCGGUCCUAUUUAAUUCUCUCAACAGCCCUAUGAGGUGGAGGUUGUGAUGUCUUAUUUACAGACAAGGAGACUGUCAAGGUGCUAAGCCAGCGCCAAACGAAACGCCCUAAAUAAACUCAGCCUUCUGCUCAAGGAUCUCACAGGCAUCUGAACUUGGCCCACCCUCAGCCUGAGCCAGCAGACAGCCCCUCCUGAGAAUAGGCUGGCCUCAGGUGGGCAGACAGAGACUACAGUAGGUGGGCGCUUGGCUUCUAGGAGCCCAGACAGGCCCCACAGCAAGGGCCAAAGGAGAUUCGAACCCAGGAGCCCCUGAUUCUCUUCCACAAUGGCCAGGAAUAGGGCUCUGGCCCUUCACAGUGAGUAGGGAGCACUGCCAGCCAGGCAGCGACAAACACCCCUUUUGCCAGCUUGUUUGUGUUUUCAGAACGGGCUUGUUGAGAUGAAUUACAGGUGCAGGUGAAAUGUUUUCAUAAAAGAAGAGAAGAGCAGCCUUUCGCCGUGGGGUUUCUCUUCCUGGAGGCUCGUUGCCAGUUCCUCCACCUCCCCUCCUUGCCGGCAGCCUUGGAAUUGGCCACUGAGCUGGCAGACCCGUUUGAGUGCUGCAGAAGGCGCCGGACAAACCAAGAAAAGGUGUCGUUUAUGU